rnacentral:rRNA from 1 species
AACGGCCGCGGGAUCUUACACCGUGCAAAGGUAGCAUAAUCACUUGUCAUCUAAAUAAUGACUAGUAUGGAAUGGCCCUAUGAGGACUUCCCUGUCUCUUAUAACCAAUCAAUGAAACUGAUCUCCCAGUACAAAAGCUGGGAUAAUAACACAAGACGAAAAGACCCUGUGGAACUUCCAAGUGUUAAUCAACAACAUGACACAACCACUUUUAGUUGGGGCAACUUUGGAACAAAAUAAAACUUCCAAUUAAAGUUACACCACUUUGACUAAAAACUAGGUCCACACACCAACCUUUUAACUUACACCGACCCAGUACUACUGAUAAAAGAAACAAGCUACCCCAGGGAUAACAGCGCCAUCCCCUCUUAGAGUCCAAAUCGACGAGCGGGGCUUACGACCUCGAUGUUGGAUCAGGGCCCCCAAACAGUGCAGCAGCUGUUAAAGGUUUGUUUGUUCAACAAUUAAU